rnacentral:rRNA from 1 species
AUAGGGGAGCCGGAGGGAAACCGAGUCUUAAUUGGGCGUUAAGUUGCAGGGUAUAGACCCGAAACCCGGUGAUCUAGCCAUGGGCAGGUUGAAGGUUGGGUAACACUAACUGGAGGACCGAACCGACUAAUGUUGAAAAAUUAGCGGAUGACCUGUGGCUGGGGGUGAAAGGCCAAUCAAACCGGGAGAUAGCUGGUUCUCCCCGAAAGCUAUUUAGGUAGCGCCUCGUGAAUUCAUCUCCGGGGGUAGAGCACUGUUUCGGCUAGGGGGCCAUCCCGGCUUACCAACCCGAUGCAAACUGCGAAUACCGGAGAAUGUUAUCACGGGAGACACACGGCGGGUGCUAACGUCCGUCGUGAAGAGGGAAACAACCCAGACCGCCAGCUAAGGUCCCAAAGUCAUGGUUAAGUGGGAAACGAUGUGGGAAGGCCCAGACAGCCAGGAUGUUGGCUUAGAAGCAGCCAUCAUUUAAAGAAAGCGUAAUAGCUCACUGGUCGAGUCGGCCUGCGCGGAAGAUGUAACGGGGCUAAACCAUGCACCGAAGCUGCGGCAGCGAACGUAUCACCCAAGACAACUUUACGGAGUUGACGAUUGACGGAGCGAAGCGACGUCAAAGCGUUCAUUAAAGUCGAGUUGGCUUAGGGAUACGUUCGUUGGGUAGGGGAGCGUUCUGUAAGCCUGUGAAGGUGUGUCGUGAGGCAUGCUGGAGGUAUCAGAAGUGCGAAUGCUGACAUAAGUAACGAUAAAGCGGGUGAAAAGCCCGCUCGCCGGAAGACCAAGGGUUCCUGUCCAACGUUAAUCGGGGCAGGGUGAGUCGACCCCUAAGGCGAGGCCGAAAGGCGUAGUCGAUGGGAAACGGGUUAAUAUUCCCGUACUUGGUGUUACUGCGAAGGGGGGACGGAGAAGGCUAUGUUGGCCGGGCGACGGUUGUCCCGGUUUAAGCGUGUAGGUGUGUGUUCCAGGUAAAUCCGGUUCACUUUAACACUGAGGCGUGACGACGAGGCACUACGGUGCUGAAGCAACAAAUGCCCUGCUUCCAGGAAAAGCCUCUAAGCAUCAGGUAACACGAAAUCGUACCCCAAACCGACACA